rnacentral:rRNA from 1 species
UACAGAGGUCUCAAGCGUUGUUCGGAUUCAUUGGGCGUAAAGGGUGUGUAGGUGGCGCGCUAAGUCGGGUGUGAAAUUUCGGAGCUUAACUCCGAAACUGCAUUCGAUACUGGCGUGCUUGAGGACUGGAGAGGAGACUGGAAUUCAUGGUGUAGCGGUGGAAUGCGCAGAUAUCAGGAGGAACACCGGUGGCGAAGGCGGGUCUCUGGGCAGUAACUGACGCUGAGGAGCGAAAGCGUGGGAGCGAACAGG